rnacentral:lncRNA from 1 species
CUGUACUGCUUCUGGAGAAACUGCUGAAUUCCAUGGUCCAUACUGAUACCCAAGAUCAUUAUGAGAAAUUGGGCAGGAAUCCAUUAUAUCUAUUGCUGAUGGAGAUGCUGAUGAUGGCUAUGAUCUGUGUUGCUGCUUGAGAAUCUGAUAAAUUCCAAAGUCCUUACUGAUGCUUGAAUUCAUAUUGAGAUGAAGUGUACUCCCAGCCUAACCAUUUUGAUGUCAUGAUGCAUCCUAC